GACUAACGCUGGCGGCGUGCUUAACACAUGCAAGUCGAACGGAGUGGCGAACGGGUGAGUAACACGUGGGUGAUCUGCCUUGCAGUUCGGGAUAAGCUUGGGAAACUGGGUCCAACACCCGAUAGUGCAAGAUGAGCUCGCGGCCUAUCAGCUUGUUGGUGGGGGGAUGGCCUACCAAGGGGUCGACGGGUAGCCGGCCUGGGAGUGUGUACAGGGACAUGGGGACUGCGGGACGGAGCAGACGCCAACGUGAGGCAACGGGCGGGAGCAUGGCACAACGGGGGGGAGUGUGAUGAAGAGGCGCCGGGUGUGUAAUGAACGUUUUCGGGGGGGAAACUCCGUUAGACAGAGACGCGGUACCUGUAUAAGAAGCACCGGCUAACUACGUGCCAGCCGCCGCGGUAAUAC
rnacentral:rRNA from 1 species